UUUUUAUGGUUUUUCU
rnacentral:sRNA from 1 species